rnacentral:rRNA from 1 species
UACGUAGGGUGCGAGCGUUAAUCGGAAUUACUGGGCGUAAAGCGUGCGCAGGCGGUCCGCGAAGUCUGAUGUGAAAGCCCCGGGCUCAACCUGGGAACUGCAUUGGAAACUAACGGGCUCGAGUGUGGCAGAGGGGGGUGGAAUUCCACGUGUAGCAGUGAAAUGCGUAGAGAUGUGGAGGAACACCGAUGGCGAAGGCAGCCCCCUGGGCUAACACUGACGCUCAGGCACGAAAGCGUGGGGAGCAAACGGG